rnacentral:rRNA from 1 species
UCCUGGCUCAGGAUGAACGCUAGCUACAGGCUUAACACAUGCAAGUCGAGGGGCAGCAUGACGAUGCUUGCAAUGUCGAUGGCGACCGGCGCACGGGUGAGUAACGCGUAUCCAACCUUCCCCUUAGUAGAGGAUAGCCCGGCGAAAGUCGGAUUAAUACUCUAUGUUCUUCUAAGCGGGCAUCUAAUUUGAAGCAAAGAUUGAUCGCUAAGGGAUGGGGAUGCGUCUGAUUAGCUUGUCGGCGGGGUAACGGCCCGCCGAGGCGACGAUCAGUAGGGGUUCUGAGAGGAAGGUCCCCCACAUUGGUACUGAGACACGGACCAAACUCCUACGGGAGGCAGCAGUGAGGAAUAUUGGUCAAUGGGCGCGAGCCUGAACCAGCCAAGUAGCGUGCAAGGACGACUGCCCUAUGGGUUGUAAACUGCUUUUAUGCGGGAAUAAAGUCAGGUACGUGUACCUGUUUGUAUGUACCGCAUGAAUAAGGACCGGCUAAUUCCGUGCCAGCCGCAGC